rnacentral:rRNA from 1 species
UACGUAGGUGGCGAGCGUUGUCCGGAUUUACUGGGCGUAAGGCGCGCGCAGGCGGCAGUCUAAGUCCUCUGUGAAAUCACCCGGCUCAACUGGGUGGCUGCGGAGGAGACUGGGCAGCUUGAGGGGCCUAGAGGCCGGUGGAACUCCCGGUGUAGUGGUGAAAUGCGUAGAGAUCGGGAAGAACACCAGUGGCGAAGGCGGCCGGCUGGGGGCGCCCUGACGCUGAGGCGCGAGAGCGUGGGGAGCAAACCGG